UCGUGGAAGGAAGGAACAGAGGAAGAGGUCAGCGGAGGAUGGGAGGGGAGGGGAGGGUCCGAGGCUCGAGGAGAGCCGAGUCUCCGGAGUAGUCCCGUGGCCUGUGCGUGGCAGCCGUGCUGCAGGUCCGGCGGGGGUGUGGCAGGCCCUCAACGCGCAAACCUGCGGCCCCCCGUCGCUGGGCAGGGACUCUCGACGCAGCGCCACCCACAACGGAGGCUUCGCUGCUGGAGGUGAAGGGCGCCACCGGCCGUCCUAUACCGUGACCACCUCAGUUUGGGGGAAGCAAGCUACGACCGUGCGAUUCGACGUAACUCGAUAGUGAGGGUUCCACGGACCGGCUCCCCCGACGCGGUUGGACGGUGGCACCCCUACACGGCACAAACCUGCGACGGCUGGGAAGUAACAGUGCCCGGGCGCAGGCAGACGAUACCGCAGGAGUGGUGGCUAAAAAAGCGGCUGGAACCUCGACACUCCGCGAACGGGGUGGGGUCGAGGUCAACGGAGACAAAAUGAAGACUAAAAACCUCCGUCAAAAACCAACAGGUACACGUCUCUUGCUGCCAAGUUGAACAAGAGCAGCCACCUCUACCCUACGGGUUCUCGUACCAGCUCCGCUAUACCGUCUGCUACACCGCACAGAGUCUACUACUGUCACUACCUACCUAGAGGUUUUACCACGAGAGGCGGACUCUUAAAGAUCCUGGGCAACAUCUAACUUACAGAAGCAAAACGAGGAGGUAUACACAUAAUAAGUCUUUACAGACAUUAAAAUUCAAGACAACAUAAAAGGUAGUAAACGUUUUAACACAACCGAC
rnacentral:rRNA from 1 species